ensembl:lncRNA
GGACCGGGAGACUUCCAGCAGCACAUGGCCCCAAAUUUUGGUCAGCCCCAGCGGCCCCCUCAUCACAUGGAGCCCUUCAGGAGCCAGCCACCUCAAGGACCCCAAGAGAGAGAGCCGCUCUUUAUGGGAGGUGAGUCCCACUCCCGCCUCGGACGAGGGUUCCAAAGCUCUCCUGGCAUAUUUAAUCCGAUUCGACAUCACCUCUGGCGGUAUACCUACAGGGUACGCUGCUUGCUUUCUGGCGCUUCCCAAUGAGCGGCACUCAUGUUAAAUGCAUGUGUGUAUAUAUACAUCUGAAUGAGCUUUUGAAGCCCAGUUAAACACCUAUAUUUCAGAUUGUAUUCAUUAACAGUGCAGCAGUGAAACAACCGUUUGUUGUUUACACUUUCACCUUGAUAGAGUUGUCUGUUUUCAUUUGCCUCGCCAUAAGACCGCGCGUCUGGAGAGGGAGUUGCCGACGCAUUGAGAUCGGCUCGCGGUGCAAACAAAACUGACAUCUCUGUUGUGUUGUUGCCCGGUCUUCUUUCUGUGGGAGCAGAACGCCCAGAGUCAACACGCUUUCCGGGGCAGCACAUGUUUGAUCACCAGAGCCCCGGCCCGCCGAUGAAUAGCAGCCACAACCUCCACCACCACCACCACCCCCACCCCCACCACCCCCCGCAGCAGCAGCAGCAGCCGCCGCCGCAGCAGCAGCAGCUUCCUGGCCAGGGCCACAUGGGUUUCGCCCAACCAGGACCGGGCUUCAACCAGCCCGGGCAGGGUCAGCUGGGACUCUUUUCGAGAGAACCCCCAAGACCCAACCUCCCUCCCCACCAAGGUCAUCAGGGCAUGGUGGGCUUGAAUCAACAAGGUGGUCCCCCCAACCAGCCCAGGCCCUUCAUGGGCCCCCGUCAGCCGUUUGGCCAGCAGGGGAACCUCUUCCCCCCUCCACAAGUCCAGUUUGGGAUGCAGGUACGACUAAGAGGCUUAAUGCACGGCCCUCCUGUCUCCCAGCUUCCGCAUCACGACUCCUUGGCAUCCCAUCAGCCCAUGCACCAGCAGCAGCAACAUCACAGGCAGGAGUUGACCCAUCAUCAGCAGCAACAUCUUAAUGUCAACGAGUCUCGCCCCAUGAUGCACCAUGGCCAGAAUCCUUUCCAUCAGCAGGCGCAUGGCAGCCCGAGGCAGAUGACUCCCCGCCUUCAGAACCCCCAACAACGCAACAUGUCCAACAGGCUGAGGAUGAACACGCCCAUUUCCAAGCAAAUGCAGCAGCGCAACAGCAACCUCCGGGAACUCCCCGUAGCACCCGGCAACGCAACCAUGAACAGUGCCCGCCCCGCCGCCAACAUUAGACCUGUUGCCAAGGCAACACAGGGGAUGCGUCCCGGGCAGAACACUCAGCCGGUGCCUGACGGCGGCAGAGGAAGAGGCCAAGCUAACGCCAAGAUGGAAUCGCAGCUCGGAGGCGCGGGCAGGACGGUAGUUUGCAAGGAGAUCCCGAGCUCGCUGUCCAGCCAAGCACCGCAGGUCAGCUAA